GUCCCGCAGCUUCACGCAGACAUCUAUGAACUCUGCGCAGCGCGGCGUCAGUGAGUGGCUUCCAGCGAGGACGUGAGGAUGUUCGCUCAGUUGCUCCGUAAAACUUUCUUUCUGACCCACUGCUUCCCUAUGUCUAUGACAGGAUUUCUAUCAUACGAAAAUUUCUUUCCACCUGAACCAGACAGUCAAAGUUAUGCCACCCUGUCAGGGUUGCAACACAAUUCUGCUUCUUCAACCAUCCUACACAGUAUUUUUCCUACAAGGAGUACAGUAAGACUAAACAACCAGAACUGCUUAGCACUGCAGGGAACAUCAUCAACCACUGAACCCUGGAACCACCUCUUAAGGUGAACUCCAUGCUCAGUAUGCUGCUGGGCUAAAUACCAACAGGGCAAACUAUUUUUAGUCCACAACCAACUUCAGGAAGUGGUGUUCAGCGCAGGACAGUGAUUAAGAGGGCCUCAGACAGCGUGUCCUUCCCACAAGAGCAUCAACCUGAAUAUCCAGCAAGACUUCAAGCAAGUUUAAGAUGAGGAAUGUGAAGUAAAAUGAAAAUGCUUAUCAGGUGGUCCUGGCCAUUUAUUCGAAAAGAGAGAGAGCUGAAGCCACAGGGAUCCAUUUGGCUUGAUGCUAAAGUGUCAGCCUCCUGUCUUGGGGACCCGGGUUCCAAUCCCAGGCUGAAUGUUUGGUUAUCUUAUAUAGACCAAUUUUUUUAUGUGCCUCUGUUGUGGAGAACAUUUCCACUUCUCAAGACACAUGAGAAAUAAUUCUAUUCAGGAGAAAUCCCUUAUGUGACUGGGGGGUUUGUAAAUAUACUGUGGGGGGGACAUCCUGUGGGGCCCUGAGAGCUGUGUGCUCUCUCUCUCUCUCUCUCUGUGUGUGUGUGUGUACAAAGCUGCAGUAAGAGCUUAGACCAGUGUGGAAGCUGGUCAUCAGCACAGUAUGAACAUGACUUGAGAUUGCAGACCAGCCUUUCACUUGCAUCAGGAAGGCUCAGGACAACCACAGCCUUGUAGGCAUACAACAAUUGUAUUCUAUAUUAGCUCAUGCUAAUCAGUCACUUCUAGAAUCUUGUGAUAUGUGGCUUAACGGGCACCAAGCCGCAAGGGACUGCAAGGAAACAAUGUGCAUCAGGUAGCCUGAGCUAUAAAAAUGUCUGCAUUUAACAACAGCCUUCAGUACCUGCUGGAGGUGGUGUGUGCUGCCCUGCCAGCCAAGUGGUAGGACACACGGGGGGGCAUGGUCUGUAGCGGUGGGCUCGGAGUCCACACAUCUUUCUAAACUUGUUUGUAAUGAAUGGUGUAAAAUAAAAUUGUUUAUAAUUACUUGAA